rnacentral:rRNA from 1 species
GACGAACGCUGGCGGCGUGCUUAACACAUGCAAGUCGAACGGAAAGGCCUCUUUCUGGGGGUACUCGAGUGGCGAACGGGUGAGUAACACGUGAGUAACCUGCCCUUGACUUUUUGAUAACUUCAGGAAACUGUGGCUAAUACCUGAUAGGAGCUCCUUCUGCAUGGUGUGGGUUGGAAAGUUUCGGCGGUUGGGGAUGUACUCGCGGCUUAUCAGCUUGUUGGUGGGGUAGUGGGUUACCAAGGCUUUGACGGGUAUCCGGCCUGGGAGGGUGACCGGCCAAAUUGGGACUGAGAUACGGCCCAGACUCCUACGGGAGGUAGCAGUGGGGAAUAUUGCACAAUGGGUGGAAGCCUGAUGCAGCAAAGCCGUGUGCGGGAUGACGGCCUUCGGGUUGUAAAACGCUUUCGAUCAUGACGAAGCUUUGUGUGACGGUAGUGGGUAAAGAAGCACCGGCUAACUACGUG